rnacentral:rRNA from 1 species
ACAUGUGGAGCGCUUAGAAGUGAGAAUGCCGGUGUGAGUAGCGAAAGACGGGUGAGAAUCCCGUCCACCGAUUGACUAAGGUUUCCAGAGGAAGGCUCGUCCGCUCUGGGUUAGUCGGGUCCUAAGCUGAGGCCGACAGGCGUAGGCGAUGGAUAACAGGUUGAUAUUCCUGUACCACCUAUAAUCGUUUUAAUCGAUGGGGGGACGCAGUAGGAUAGGCGAAGCGUGCGAUUGGAUUGCACGUCUAAGCAGUAAGGCUGAGUAUUAGGCAAAUCCGGUACUCGUUAAGGCUGAGCUGUGAUGGGGAGAAGACAUUGUGUCUUCGAGUCGUUGAUUUCACACUGCCGAGAAAAGCCUCUAGAUAGAAAAUAGGUGCCCGUACCGCAAACCGACACAGGUAGUCAAGAUGAGAAUUCUAAGGUGAGCGAGCGAACUCUCGUUAAGGAACUCGGCAAAAUGACCCCGUAACUUCGGGAGAAGGGGUGCUCUUUAGGGUUAACGCCCAGAAGAGCCGCAGUGAAUAGGCCCAA